CGUCCUGUAUUGGAGCAGACUCAUGAGAUAAUAUGCAUUGUUAAGGAGCUUGAGCUUCUUAAGUGCGAGUUACCGGGCAAGUUUGUCGCGGGCUGCAUAAUCGCUAAGCUUUCCAAUUCCUGGAGGAACUUUGCCACCACUCUGAAACAUCAGAGGCAUGAAUUCUCCGUGGAGGAUGUCAUUGGCCAUCUGAGUGUUGAGCAGAAUUUAAGGGCAAAUGACUCGCACGGAAAAGGGGUCGAAGGAACUUCUGUGACCAACAUGGUGCAUCAGAAGAACUCCAAUUCCCACAAGUCCAAGGGAAAGAACGGUGUCCAACAGAGUGCCGACUUUAAGAAGAAGGGUAAGAAGACCUUCAAGAAGAACAAGAAGGAUGAGGACUGCUUUACUUGUGGUUCGCUUGAACAUUGGGCCAACAAGUGCCCAAACAAGUAUAAGAAGCAAGGGCAGGACUCCAAGUCUGUCAAUAUGAUUGUGAGCAACAAUGAGAGUGGUGCAUCUGGGUACGGUAAUUUAUUUGUUGUAUUCUCAGUUUGGCCGUCCACCGAUUGGUGGGUCGACACAGGUGCAGGUGUUCAUGUGUGUGCUGACAUUUCAUUGUUUUCUUCUUACCAGGCCAUAGGUCACGGGUCCGUACUGAUGAGGAAUGGCACGAGUGCUUCUGUUCUUGGUGUUGACACGGUCGAUCUAAAGUUUACUUCGGGAAGGAUCGUGCAGCUGAAGAACGUGCUGCAUGUCCCCGCCAUCAAGAAGAACCUCGUUAGUAGCUCCCUUCUAUGUAGAGAAGGGUUUAAGUUGAUAUUCGAGUCUAAUAAAUUAGUUGUUACGAAAUAUGGACUAUUUGUUGAAAAGGGUUAUGAAUGCGGAGGCAUGUUCCACCUUUCUCUUGCAGAUCUAUGUAAUAAAGUC
rnacentral:rRNA from 1 species